AGGGUAAUUUCACCUGUGUAUUGUAAAAGAGGAGUGGAAAUUUCAGAUGAAAUUCUUACACUGCUAUGUUCUGUUGCAUCAAAGAGGUCUGUCAGUCCAGACAACUGGGGACCUUGUGAAGUGGUGAUGGGAUGACAUCCAAUGUGAAGCAGGCUUGGGUAGCACACAAUUCAGUGAUGGUCUUCAGCUCUGGGUCGUCAUCAGUGGAGACUUAGAUAUUUGAAGGAUUCUCCAAGUGUGGAUAGGUACAUUGCCUCAGCCUUCUCCAGAAUAAAUAGAGGAAAAUACUGUUAGAUAUCCAAAGGUCUGGGGCUGAGAAAUUCGAAGCUUUCAUUUCUAUGAAUCAAGGAUGAUUGCUGGGUGGAAUCUGAAGAGAAACGAUGAUUUGCUGGAGUAAGAUGGUGUGAG